UGUUAAUGAUAAUAUCUUCUCUGUUGUUUCCAGGCAUUCAAAGGGAACAGAGGGCACUGAGGGCAUCCUAUCAAGUCAGCCACAAAAAAAAAGUUAAUCAGUUGCCAAGUGUUGGAGUUUCUUUGUCUCUCAGUGUUUUACAACAGCUCUGUUCAUUUAAGUGUUUAAAACAUGUGUGUACAUAGUUUUUGAUCUAGUGACAAACUUAAUGUUGCACUUCUGAUCAUUUAAAUGUGGUUUCACCUGCGAUGUACUGUACACUGCACUUCCUAUAGUUAGUGUUUUGUCCCUUUCUGUUUACAACAUGUUUGUUCUUUGUUCAUUUAAAAUAGUUUAAAAAUGGUGUGUGAUCUAGUGACAAACUUAAUAUUGCACUUUUGAUAAUUGUAUAAUUUAAAUUUGAUUUGUACUGUAUAUACUUGACUGCACUUCCCAUGUUUCGUCUUUCUGCUUUGAUCCUUAUAUUUUCUGGGCAAGCCAAAGGGAAGGUUGUUAUGGUGAGAAACCUAAUUGCUUCGAUGCACUUUUAUAAUUAAAUACAUAUUUUCAUUUUAAAUUCAUGGUGUGUUGCAUUCUUUGUUUAUAACUGUAGAUAUUAUGGGAAAUCAUGUCAUUUUUUGAGCUUGGGUCCCUUUGGACCACAACAUUUCUAUUUUGGGUCUCAUGCUGAAAAAGUUUGGGAACCCCUGCUCUAGGGCUCUGGUGUUGCUGUAGCAACUGCAAGCUACCGCCCCUGGGCUGUCGGCAAAAUAAAUCACUCUGAUUGGCUGUUCAGCUUAGCGAAUCAGUGCGAUCAAACGAUUUAAAAGGCACACACAGACGGCUAUUCUUUUUCAUUUUCAUCUCACCUGGACGCUAGAGUUUAUUUUUCAUCAUGGCGAUCUGGAAUGCAGAAACCGAAGAGCAACUCAUCAGCUUGAUUCAGGAGAGGCCAGCUCUGUACGACAUUACAGAGAAACGGUACGCGAACCGAACAGUGAGAACCGGACUCUGGCGAGAGAUUGAAACUCAACUUGUUCUAUCAGAGAAAGAGCUCAAGAGGAAGUGGGAUUCUCUGCGAACCCAGUACACCCGGUACAGGAGACUUUCCCCUUCGGGUAGUUUUGGAGCACUAAAGACUGGCAGACAGUGGAUCCUGACCAGGCUGCAGUUUCUCGAGCCCUACACAAGAAGAAGAAGGAAGGAAAGUACUUCAAACCUCACCAUCACGGCAGCCUUUCAUACGUGAUGGUGGCUUCAUUCUCCCAUGAUCCUCCGCAAUCUGUCUAGAAGAACCCCCGGUGGCUGCAGAAUCCGCCUCCGAUGGCACCAGCAGUGACGCCUGGAACAGCACCCCUGAGGAGCCCUUCCUCUCUGAUGCUGAGUCAAGGCCCUGCACUCCCCUGGCAGAAUCCACCAUCUGUGGAACAGAGUCCACACUGGCACCGCUCGGAGAGGGGCCAAGCACACUCAGUCACUUAAGCACUCCAAGGCCUCGGCGAGUGAAGCGCCGCAGGAAGAUGCUGGAUGAGUCUACCAUUGAGGCGUCAGAAACUUUGAUGCGCACGAUUGGCAGGACCCUGGAACAUUUACGUUCGAAGGGUGAACAUAAUGACAAAAACAUUAGUGCGGUACUGGCGUUAUCAGCCCUUGGACUGUUGCUUGUGAAAGCAGAUCUAAAGAGGCGGAGGUGGAUAAUUAGGAGAAACCGCACUAAAUGGGUGAAAUCGUGGAUACGACAGCGACAAGCUCAUGGGGCUUUCCCGUACUUCGAUUAGAAGUCGAUAUGCCAAACAGUCUGUCAUGGAUGAGUCUUUGCGGUGCGACUUUUUGGUCAAGACGCAGGAGGCGACACAACAGUCGGGUCCGUCGGGACGUGUUCUUUGGUGUCAGUUUGUAACAUGAUACACAGUUUAGGAUUCAAACUCCUCUCCACGAUAUUAAGGCACAGGUGGAACAAGUAUUCAAACUCUUUACUUGAGUAAAAGUACUAACACCAUACUGUAAACAAACUCAAUUUCAAGUAAAAGUACUGCCUCAAGAAUGGUACUUUACUCAAAGUAUUUAAGUGAGAUUAGGAAAAUGUACUUAAAGUAUUAGGAGUAAAAGUAUUUUAAAGCAAAAGCAGCAAAUCUUUACAUUUAAAGAUAUGGAAAAGUGAAAUGUUUGUAACAAUAAACUUCACCCACUCAGUGUUUUAGUUACUUCAAUAUAAUGUAUUUUUAUAGUCACUCUUUCAGUGACAUGUUGCUGGUACCGCUUGGGCCAUUAGUCCUACAUCUGGUAGGUUUGUUCAGGAAAGAUGUCUUCAUUGUUAUAAUGAUGAACCAUAAGGCAUAUACCUAUUGUGAUGCCCCUGUGGGUUCAUCAGUGGAGAGGGUGUGGCUGUGCUGUCUUGGCUGCAUUGAUCGCACUGAUUGCAGUAACUCAGGGCACCUGCAGGUCUGGUGCUCUGCAGCUAUUUUAAAGCCUCUCUGCUCCUGUCUGUUCUCUCUCUGCUUUCUCCUGCAGGCACCCGGCUCUGAUGAGUAUAAACCAUGAGUUGACUUGAACAGUGUGGUGCAAAUAAACACCUUUACCUACCCGUUGACAUGUUGUGUCUCCUUCUUGUCGUGGCCUUUUGAGCCAGGUCGCAACACCUAUUUACAAAUAUAUCUACAUUACAUCAAACUGGCUUUUCCAUGCACAUUUACACCUGCUUUUAGUCAGUGUAAUGGAUGGAUGCGAUGGGUUAUGGACACAAUUCCUAUAGUACUUUACUGAAUAUAUUUUCGUCAAAUGACAUGUUGUACAUCUUGCUUCCUUAUUUUGAACCAUGCCUCAUUGGGUUGGGUCAUACACGUCAGUCCCAUUGUGCGACGCAGAUAUGUCAACAACAGUCAACUCGGCAAACGGAGCCGCUCAGAUCGUCUCAAAGAAAUGAAACCGUUAAUCAGAAGUGUAAUCAGCAAUCCUGUGACGGCAUUCAGGUCAUGUAGGCCUAGAUGUUUAAUAGACGUGAAUAUCUUUAUCUUGGCAGUGCACAAACAAUGGCCAAGUAGAAAGAAUGAAAGCCAACUCCAUGUUCAGACACGUUUAGACGCAGAUUAACUCUGUGAUUAUUGUAGAUCAACAAUGGGAUUAAGUGCUGUACUGAUCAUGUUAUCUCAAAUGAACACUUGUAUUCUAUUUUCUAUUGUUAUUUUUAUUUGUUUAUUACAUUUUUGGAGACUCCCCUAUGCUGAUGCAAACGGAAGAGCAUUAGGGCCACAUGAAACUUUUUUUUGAGGAUGUGAAAAAGAAAAUGUAUUUGUUUUGUUCUGAGAAAAUUCGACUUUAAUCUCAGAAUAGUUCAUCGACUUGUAUAACUUCCUGACACAGUAGCUGUGUAUAAUUUAAAUGUGAUUAAAAACCUCAAAAUAAAACAUUUUGUUUCUAAUUCGUACCCUAAGAAACUGAAUUUGCGAGGCCCACUUGAGGGCAGCAUUUCAGCCACUAUUUUUUUGACAUUAUUUAUUGCCAUAGAAAACAAUAAUAACAGUAACUCUUUUACAUAUAGGCCAUUUUCUCUAAUUCCCCUCCUCGACUCCUAUCCUCGUGUCUUAGUCCCGCCCACAGGAGAUGCGAGCGGAGGAGUCUAGGAGGGGAACCAAGGAGAGAGGAGGGGAAGCAGCAGGCGGUUAGAGAAAUGAGAAACCUUCAUAGUCUUAAAGUGUCUGUUUUUUAAUAUUAAAGGUUUUUGCAGCAUUAUAUACAAACAAAAGGUUAUAAAUAGAUAGUUACUUUAUUUAUUGGGAAAAAAUGUUGUCUAGCAAAACACAAGUUAAAAUGUGCAUUU